rnacentral:rRNA from 1 species
AAGAAACUAACGAGGAUUCCCCUAGUAACGGCGAGUGAAAGGGGAAGAGCCCAGCGCUGAAUCCUGCUCUCCCAUGGAGGUAGGAAUUGUAGCGUAUAGGCGUAGCUUUCCGGCGUGGUUGCUCACCCCAAGUUCCCUUGACUGGGACCACGGUCCAGAGAAGGUGCAAGACCUGUACGGGUGGUGGCUGCGACGGUUGGGUGCGCUUUGGAGUCGGGUUGCCUGAGAUCGCAGCCCUAAUUGGGAGGUAAACCUCUUCUAAGGCUAAAUACGGCCACGAAACCGAUAGCAAACAAGUACCGUGAGGGAAAGUUGCAAAGCACUUUGAAGAGAGAGUUCAAGAGUACGUGAAACCGCUGAGAUGGAAACGGAGAGAGUUGACGAAAGCUGGUGCUAUUCAACUGUGUCGCACAAUCGCGUCGGGGCAUGGCUACCCCUCUGGGGAGCUUGUCUUGGCGGUCAGAUGUGUGGCGCGUGCAUUUGGCACCAGUGUGCGCUGAGGGCCUUGACUGGGAGCUUCGAACCGCAGUGUGUUGCCCACUCCGGUGGUGUCUUGCACGUGGCUAGGAGCACUUGGCUAGGGUUAGCUGCCAAAGCCGGCUCGCUUGGCGUCUGUCGUGGCGUCGCUUUGCGUGCCUCGAGGGCGGUCGUCGAAAGGCGACAGGCCUUCGUGUUGCGUGAGGUGGCGUGGCACGGACGUGGUUCGGCUUGUUCCUCGGUGUGACCGUCGACCACCCCUCCGACCCGUCUUGAAACACGGACCAAGAAGUCUAGCAUAUCCGCGAGUCAUUGGGUGGUAAACCUAAAGGCGUAAUGAAAGUAAAGGUGGCUCGAUCCACUGAUAUGGGAUCCGUACGUGAGAGCGUGCGGCGCACCAUAGCCCCGUCCCGUAGGCUUGCCUUGGGGCGGAGGUAGAGCGAAUAUGCUGGGACCCGAAAGAUGGUGAACUAUGCCUGAGCAGGAUAAAGCCAGAGGAAACUCUGGUGGAAGUCCGAAGCGGUUCUGACGUGCAAAUCGAUCGUCUGACUUGGGUAUAGGGGCGAAAGACUAAUCGAACCAUCUAGUAGCUGG